rnacentral:lncRNA from 1 species
GUGGUGGGAUGGCACCCAAGGGUGGUGGUGACCCCGCUGGGACAGUCCCAUGGCACCCAAGGGUGGUGGCAGGGUGGUGGCACUGCCAGGUUGUCCCCCCCACCACCGUGGCCCAACCGGGAUGGACCUGGAGCACCCAAGGGUGGUGUCCCUAUGGCCACGUGGUGUCCCCGUGGCCGUGCUGAUGUCCCUGCGCCGUGUCCCCAGAGCCUGCUGGUGCUGCUGGACCUGCUGGGCACCCAGCACCCCGCCAUCCACAGCCACUUCCCCCGCACCCACCACUGGUUCCUGCGCCUCGUGGCCAUCGAGAAACGACUGCGAAACCUGGGGCUGCUGCACGCCUCCCCCAAGGACCAGCCCUUUUUCCGUCUCAGCCCACCCCCGGGGCCCGUCGAGGACGACCACGUCCCCUUCCUACAACGCGGUGUCCCCGUGCUGCAUCUCAUCCCCAUGCCCUUCCCCUGGGUCUGGCACACCACCGAGGACAACGAGGACAACCUCCACCUGCCCACCGUGGACGACCUCUGCAAAAUCCUCGCCGCCUUCGUGGCCGAAUUCCUGCAGCUCUGAGCCCCCCCGACGCCCCCCGGGGCAUCGGGGCAGCCCCUGGCCGCGCUGGGAGCCCCCCCAAAUUAAAUCCUUGGUGCCUGGUGGCGUGUCCCGUGCUGUCACCCACCCAUGGGGACACGUUUCGGAACAGGCUCACGGGGUGGCAGGACCCAAAAGGGGGGAACCCAGCUGGAAAAGGCAACGGGGGGGCUUCUCGACCCUAUUUUCAACCGGGGAGGGUCCAACCCGAUCUCCAAAAGUCCCAUCCGGACCCCAAAGUGCUGCUGGAUGCUUCAUCGUGGGGGUCUUCCUCGUUUUAAUUCGGUCAGCGGUCCCCUUGUGUUUUAUUUCUGCGCCCCCCCCCGUUGCCGCAGCCCCACGGAAGAGCAAACUUACGUAAAAAAAGCGUUAAAAAGAGGUGUUUAAAUAUUAAUUAAACAGCGAGGGAGCACCGGAAUGAUCAAGGAAGCGAGCUGUUGGUUCUCAUAAUGUUUCUCCUUCAUCUGCCUGUCGCUGUGGUGUUCUGGAUUUCUACUGCAAUCUCUCUUUAAAAAAAAAAAAAAAGAAGAAAAAAA